rnacentral:rRNA from 1 species
GUGUCAGCAGCCGCGGUAAAACGUAGGAGGCAAGCGUUAUCCGGAUUUACUGGGCGUAAAGCGCGUGCAGGUGGUUGCAUAAGUCGUGCGUGAAAGCGCCCUGCUUAACAGGGCGAGUGCGGGCGAGACUGUGCGACUAGAGCUAGAUAGAGGCAAGUGGAAUUCCGGGUGUAGUGGUGAAAUGCGUAGAGAUCCGGAGGAAUACCAGUGGCGAAGGCGGCUUGCUGGGUCUAAGCUGACACUCAGACGCGAAAGCAUGGGGAGCGAACGGGAUUAGAAACCCCCGUAGUCC